rnacentral:rRNA from 2 species
AGCAUAGCGAUUUGGGAUAAGUCCCUCGGAAAAGGGCAGCAUGGAGGGUGAUACUCCCGUCUCUGCUCAGAUUGUCUGUGUGUACGAUACGCUUUCUUUGAGUCGAGUUGUUUGGGAAUACAGCUCAAAGUAGGUGGUAAAUUCCAUCUAAAGCUAAAUAUUGGUGCGAGACCGAUAGCGAACAAGUACCGUGAGGGAAAGAUGAAAAGAACUUUGAAAAGAGAGUUAAAGAGUACCUGAAACUGUUGAAAGGGAACCGUAUCGUUUCCAGUGUUGUAUCCUGUGCAUAUUUCAUUAGCGGAGUAAUUUGCUGGUGCCCUGUGCAUGGGUGUGACGUCAGAGUCAGUUUGUAUGCUGCGGGAGAUGGACAGUAAGGAGGUGCGUCACUUCGGUGAAAGUUAUACCUUGCUGUCUAGUAGCCGUGGUUGAGACUGAGGUGCC